UAACCGGAAUUCCUCCCCAAGGGUCGCACAUGUUUCAGCUGAUCUGCGGUGUAUAGUGAAUGUUGGUGCUAAUUUCAAUGUCUUUAAAUUUGCGCCCAUGAGUGAGUUACGAUAACACAUUGUAACUGUCAUUGAUACACAGCUCAGAUAUGCUUGCUGCAGUGCUGAGAAUAGACAGACUUUAUCGAGAGGGUGGCAGACCAUCACCGAUUAAUCAAAAUAAAUCGCAGUGCAACCAGUGUAAUAUUAAACGGUUUUCUUUUUCUUUUUCUUGUGAUCAUCGGUCAUAGUGUGAUCGCAUUAUAAACCUGUAUGUAAUGGCUUUCUUAAGCAGACAUUAUUAGCUUUGUUUUGUGAUCCAACGUAACGAUGUCAGCGCGAACCUGUGAGUGAACGACAGGGUUAAUGUAAAACGCUUCCUGUUUGUUCUCGUUUUAUAUUUCUCCGAGAAUACUAGGUGUUGUGUUAAGAAACACGCAGUGGCUGCAGAUUUGCAAGGGAAGUAUUAGAAACUUGCUCAGGAGUAUUCAAAGGUGGGCUUCUCGUUCAGUCUGAUUUAAAAAAAAAAAAUGUUUGAAAGAGUCAUUCAAUUAAAUGUGUUUGUGUGUGUUGAAUUAUUUUUAUGUAGAAUUGUGCAGUUGUCUACAGAUGAAAGGGACGUACUUUAAUGCAAUCGCUACGUGUUAAAUAUUGGGGUACAGAUUUGUUUUCCCACACUUCUGUUGGCGUUUUGUUGCUAUUGUUAUGAUAUUGGAAUUCUGUAUUGGUAAAAUUCUGAUCCUGAUAUACACGAUCAAUACACACAUUAAAACAACACUGAGUAAACGUGUUGCUAACGUACGCCACGACUGACUUUGACAUGACAGCAGCAAAUGCAAGAAGUUCUGGACGACAGGACAUUGUAUUGGAUUUUGCUUUUAAAAAUGUGAAAACUAAGCAACAUACCCCAUAAGCCCCUGUAAACAACGAAUUGUUACAGAAUGCAUGAGAUUGUCAGCCUAUCCUUUAUGAGCAGCAGGCAUUUUCAAGUUCAUAGUUUGGAGGAUACAUGAGUUGCCUGAAUCCAGAUUAAUUGCCCAGUGUGCAAAAGAAAAGUAUCAGAUCAACCCCUGGAUGAGCAAAUAUAUAAUGAUGCACUGAUAGGAAGAGUGAAGGCUUAGCAGCCAAGCCUCGUUGUAUCCAGCAGCAGCUAAAGAAAUGUCACGCUGAGCUGGUUGGAGCAGCAUCAUUCAAGAGAAAGUUCCCUUUAAUGACACAAUUGAAAGCAAGGGAUAUUGUUGGACAUGAAUGUUCAUUCAAGAGCUCAUGGCUGCAUUGCUGAACUUUCACACCUACACAGAGUAGAGGGUCCAGAUCUACCCCAUUGACUCAGCCACGGAUACAAUAUCACCUUUAAACCAAAAGUUUUCUCAGUAUCUUCAUGAAAACGCAGCCUAUGUGCGCCCUCUGGAGGAAGGAAUGCUGUACUUGUUUGCCAGUAUUAUGAGGGACUCUGUUUCUACAUUGGAAACAACUGUGAAACUAAAAGAAUUUUCAAAUCAUUUCACAUCGUAUACCUUCUUCUUACAGAUGAUCAUUCCCUAUCAGUUUAAAAGGUAUUUCUGUUUAUGCAUCUCCCACACACUCUUCCAGCAACAUGUGAAAUGAAUCAGUAAUCCUCUAGCAUGUAAGCAGUAUAUAUGGCUAACUAUUUGCAUUGCAGUGCUGGAUGUCAAAUACAUGUUAGAAAAAAAUAUUGGUAUGAAAACCGAAGGAGAAAGAAAUAGGUUGAAGAGAUGUCACCUACUUAAAUAUUACAUUUCUUCUUGUGUAAUGUGUUUUGUAUGAUUAUCUGUUGCUGCUUCUGCUUGGAUAAUUAUUUGCCAUGCUUACCAACUAUUCAAAAAAUAAAAUGCUUCCGAAAAGGCUCUUGAAGACAGAUUUUGUAUAUCAGCGUUGUCCUGUGCACAGAAACCCAUAGAUGAAGCAUUGUACACUGACUCUUGUGCUAUACAGGUAAGCUCAGGAGACCUUUCAGAAACAUUGUUUUAGUGGAAUAGUUAGUAAGCAUGAGAUUUCACUGAUGAGGUUGUGCAGUUCUCCAUCUGUAUUGUCCUGAGUCCCUCAGCGUUCAUCUCUUUUCUUUGUUGCUGUUGGGACGAGGAGUGCAAGUUCUCUCUUUGCACAUCCUCCUUAAAAACCAAAACGCGGAACUGCACAGCGACGUGAGAAAGGUGACCUCUGUGUUUGAAAACCUGCAGAAUUGUGUCAGCCUCCUUGCUUUACCGAGUGAGUAGAUGGCACUGUUUUUGGAGGCUGGGUUACACUUCUUAGAAAUUUUUGUUUUUGAUUGUAUUACAAUCAUCUCAGUUAACAAAAUGAGUGGCGUCCGCCUCUCGUCAGAUCUGUAAAUACACAUGUAGCGUUUUUGGAUUUCUAUGUCUCCUGCCAGAUUCUGAUACUGUCACGACUUUGUGCUAGAGAAUGCCCUUUGAGAGUUUCAUCACAAUAGGAUAGGUGGUUCUCUAGAUAUGUGUACAAUUCUAAAGCAUGACAUAUGUCAAUGUGGCUGGCUCUUCUAUAGCCCAUAAUAUUGGCUGUUUCUUAUGUCCAGCUUCUUCCCCUGACUGUGAACAGAAACGUCAGAUGCCUUUUUUUCUGUCAUUGUG